GAGUUUGAUCAUGGCUCAGAUUGAACGCUGGCGGCAGGCCUAACACAUGCAAGUCGAGCGGUAGAGAGAAGCUUGCUUCUCUUGAGAGCGGCGGACGGGUGAGUAAUGCCUAGGAAUCUGCCUGGUAGUGGGGGAUAACGUUCGGAAACGGACGCUAAUACCGCAUACGUCCUACGGGAGAAAGCAGGGGACCUUCGGGCCUUGCGCUAUCAGAUGAGCCUAGGUCGGAUUAGCUAGUUGGUGGGGUAAUGGCUCACCAAGGCGACGAUCCGUAACUGGUCUGAGAGGAUGAUCAGUCACACUGGAACUGAGACACGGUCCAGACUCCUACGGGAGGCAGCAGUGGGGAAUAUUGGACAAUGGGCGAAAGCCUGAUCCAGCCAUGCCGCGUGUGUGAAGAAGGUCUUCGGAUUGUAAAGCACUUUAAGUUGGGAGGAAGGGUUGUAGAUUAAUACUUUGCAAUUUUGACGUUACCGACAGAAUAAGCACCGGCUAACUCUGUGCCAGCAGCCGCGGUAAUACAGAGGGUGCAAGCGUUAAUCGGAAUUACUGGGCGUAAAGCGCGCGUAGGUGGUUAGUUAAGUUGGAUGUGAAAUCCCCGGGCUCAACCUGGGAACUGCAUUCAAAACUGACUGACUAGAGUAUGGUAGAGGGUGGUGGAAUUUCCUGUGUAGCGGUGAAAUGCGUAGAUAUAGGAAGGAACACCAGUGGCGAAGGCGACCACCUGGACUGAUACUGACACUGAGGUGCGAAAGCGUGGGGAGCAAACAGGAUUAGAUACCCUGGUAGUCCACGCCGUAAACGAUGUCAACUAGCCGUUGGGAGCCUUGAGCUCUUAGUGGCGCAGCUAACGCAUUAAGUUGA
rnacentral:rRNA from 1 species